GCCUAGUUAGCUGAUUUUUAGUGCGUCUGCCUUGUAAGCACUAGGGUGCGGGUUCGAUUCCCGCCCGGGGCG
rnacentral:tRNA from 1 species